rnacentral:rRNA from 1 species
UACGAAGGGGCUAGCGUUGUUCGGAAUUACUGGGCGUAAAGCGCGCGCAGGCGGCCUUCCAAGUCAGUGGUGAAAGCCCGGAGCUCAACUCCGGAACUGCCAUUGAAACUGUAAGACUUGAGGAUGAGAGAGGUGAGUGGAAUUCCCAGUGUAGAGGUGAAAUUCGUAGAUAUUGGGAAGAACACCGGUGGCGAAGGCGGCUCACUGGCUCAUAUCUGACGCUCAGGCGCGACAGCGUGGGAUCAAACAGG